AGUGAACGCUGGCGGUAGGCCUAACACAUGCAAGUCGAGCGGCAGCACAGUAAGAGCUUGCUCUUACGGGUGGCGAGUGGCGGACGGGUGAGGAAUACAUCGGAAUCUACUUUUUCGUGGGGGAUAACGUAGGGAAACUUACGCUAAUACCGCAUACGACCUACGGGUGAAAGCAGGGGAUCUUCGGACCUUGCGCGAUUGAAUGAGCCGAUGUCGGAUUAGCUAGUUGGCGGGGUAAAGGCCCACCAAGGCGACGAUCCGUAGCUGGUCUGAGAGGAUGAUCAGCCACACUGGAACUGAGACACGGUCCAGACUCCUACAGGAGGCAGCAGUGGGGAAUAUUGGACAAUGGGCGCAAGCCUGAUCCAGCCAUACCGCGUGGGUGAAGAAGGCCUUCGGGUUGUAAAGCCCUUUUGUUGGGAAAGAAAAGCAGCAGGUUAAUACCCCGCUGUUCUGACGGUACCCAAAGAAUAAGCACCGGCUAACUUCGUG
rnacentral:rRNA from 1 species